CCUUUGUUAACGUAAUCAUUUUAUUGAACCAGUUGAACCAGAAAUUGAACCAAUUUCUGUUGAAUAAUUAUCAUGUACAUUCUGUGUGCUAGACAUUUGUAAUCAAAAUUUGUAAUCAAAAUCAUCUCUUCUUUAAGAUGCAGAUUGGGGAAGACAGGAGUUUAAGCAUUUGCAUCUCUUAUGGUGAUGGUACGACAGCAGCAGUUACAAGAAAUACAGAAGGGCAUGAAGAAGAAAAGACAGAAAGGAGGACAGGACCUAGAUGGAAAGUGGGCAGCUAUCGAGUGAAGGGAAGAUAGUAGUCAUCUGGCUUUUGAGAACAGUCUUCUCUGAGUAUAGAACAUUUACUUGAUGGCUUUGGCUAACUUGACAUUUCUAGGUAGAUUUUGUCUCUCAGUCAGUGUUGGCCUAGUUGAUUCCUAUGGAUUCUUUUCUAACUCUACCAUUGUCUUCUAAUGGGAGGGAAGGGUGGAAUGAGUGAAAAAGGCUAAUGGAAGUAGGGAAUGGACAAAGGGCCCCUAAGCGAGGGCUGUGCCCUGUACUUCCAGUAACUUAAGAUGGGAAAAAAAUACAAUAACAUUUUCAUCAUAAUUCUAAUUAGUUGGUUAAGAAGAGAGAGAGAUUUGGGGACUGGGAACAGGGUGAUGGGGCUGGUGGAGGAAGUGAGGAAGAUGCUACAUAAGGAUCUGUCACUGGUAU
rnacentral:lncRNA from 12 species